rnacentral:rRNA from 1 species
CCUACGGGAGGCAGCAGUAGGGAAUAUUGGGCAAUGGAGGCAACUCUGACCCAGCCAUGCCGCGUGCAGGAUGAAGGCGUUAUGCGUUGUAAACUGCUUUUAUAUAGGAAGAAAUAGACCUUGCGAGGUAAUUUGACGGUACUAUAUGAAUAAGCACCGGCUAACUCCGUGCCAGCAGCCGCGGUAAUACGGAGGGUGCAAGCGUUGUCCGGAUUUAUUGGGUUUAAAGGGUGCGUAGGCGGUUUAUUAAGUCAGUGGUGAAAGACGGUCGCUCAACGAUUGCAGUGCCAUUGAUACUGGUAGACUUGAGUGAGAUUGAGGUAGCUGGAAUGGAUAGUGUAGCGGUGAAAUGCAUAGAUAUUAUCCAGAACACCAAUUGCGUAGGCAAGUUACUAAGUCUCAACUGACGCUGAGGCACGAAAGUGUGGGUAUCAAACAGGAUUAGACUACCCUGGUAGUCCACACUAGUAAACGAUANAUAACUACUGUUGUCGUUAGGUGUGUGUAGAGAGAAGUAGUUAAGUUAGUCCGCCGUGGGUAGGUACGGUUCCGGCGUACGGUUAGUUAAACGUUAAAGUUAGUUAGUUAGUACGGCGUUGAGACGUUCGCCGACGGACGACCGACGGAGGGGAGGUUAGG